UAGGACUACCCGCUGAACUUAAGCAUAUCAAUAAG
rnacentral:rRNA from 3 species